UCUCUCUCUCUCUGUCUCUCUCUCUCUCUAUUUCUCUCUCUCUAAUUCUCUCUCUCUGUGUGUCUCACUGUCUGUUUUUAACUGUAUCAGUUACUGAUCCCUCUUUUUCCCUCUCUGUCCCUCUUCCUCCUGCAGCUCUCUCUUCCACAUCUUUCACUGUCUCCACUUCUCGUCUCUUUCCAGAUCCGUCCUCUCUCUCUCUUUCAAUCAGAAGAUGGCCUGUGACUCCAAUGGGAUCUGCCAUGGAUGGUUGUUUUUGAUGCCAGUAUUCAAACCCUCUGGCAAACUGUUUCUGGCAGAGCGUAGUGCUGCUGGGUGUGGCCUAUCCAAGACUUGAAAGAGCCUGAUGAGGGAGAGAGGGAGGGGUGAGGAGGAGGGGAAGGAAGUGACACGCGUAAGGGAACUGAGACAUACGGCAGCAACUGUCAGGAAGAAGAAAAAUCAAGCAGAGCUCUGAAUAAUUCAUGUGCUGAAAUUACACUGCUUUCACCUCGCAUAUGUAUGGAGGCUGUUUGCCUCAGAAUGGUGUCAGUAUUUGUUCCACUGUGGAGAGGGAAUUUGCACAGGAAGGUUAUUGAAACUCUGUCAAGUGUUAGCGUGAGUAUCUAUUUUGGAGUGAACGUAUUCCCACUAUAAACUCAAGAGAGACAGAGGACUGCACUUCGAUGAUAACACAAGAUGAUCAGUGGCAGUACUGCCAGGCUUGUUCUGUUGGUGUGUGUUUGUGAGGGAAUGUUAACAAGCAUUCAUGUGUGUACAAAAUUAUUGUCUUCUAUAUGUUCAAAACAUCAGUUGUUCAAAGGUUUACUAUGGUAGUACUCUGGUUUACUGAGUUACAUCCAGGUUUGCUAUGGUAAUACUCUGGUGUUUUGACAUUGUACAGACAGUCCUUGAGGGUUUAGGUUGGUUGAGGGGCAGUUCUAUGGGCGUAUGUGAAGCCCUCUGUGACAUGCUUGCGUGUAAAAGGGCUAUACAAAUAAAUUUGAUUUGAUUCGAUCCAUGCAGAUCCAAAGACAUGGGUAAACAUAUAAGCGAUUAUAACUUCCAACAGCAGACCGAGCCAAAUUCUAUUCAACUCUGUGUCUUAUGCAAUUCUCAUUGCAUAACAGUCGGUUAUAUCUUUUCAGUGCGUCUGAGGCUUCCAGUGAUUGGUCUCUUUAAAUCAUGUGAUAUUACUCUCUUGUUUUUCCUGUUAACAGUUUCGACAUAAAGGCAUUUUCUCUGCCUUGUUGUCAUUUAGAAGGUCAACGUGGUUUAAAAAAAACAUGACAAAGACACCCUGGUCCCUCCUGCUAAGCCAGAACGUGAGUCACCAGGCCAAGGGGACAUGCUUUGCGGUCUAGGUCCGGCAUAUUUGCUCCUUGAAGUUUGACUCCGGGGGGGGGUUCUAUUAAGGGCCCUUUGAAACGCUCACGGCUACAAAAGCAUCGAGACCUGCUUUAUCAACUCUACCGGCACCUGGCAUGUUCCAUCAUCUAAAUCAGGUUCAUUGGAUUCGGCGCAUGCCCCGGCCAACCAACACACACAAAAUUUCACACACCAUCAACUCUCCUGGCACGGACCGAGAUGGGCGCUAGGUACAUAUUUACACUCGUCCUCGCGGUUAUUGAGAUCAACAAGCAUGUAAUAUAAUGCCAAAUGUGUCCUGGGUGCGCGGGAACCAGGCGCGCCCAGGGAGCAACCCAGGAGCCCAGCCUGCCUCAGUGCCUCGUAACAAGCCUGUCCUUUCCACCCUCAUGUUCACUGUGGCUGUCGCCGCCACGACACACAUUAAGCUGUAAUUCCUCUCCGAGGGUUCUAAGUGACAUUCACGCUGCUUUGAUGUGUCCAUGAUCACUCUGUCUGUGGUUUGGUCAGGGUCCUGACGUAGACCUUCCUGUCCUGACUCCUCGUGCGAAGACGCUAGGAUCAGACCCUGGUUUAUUAUAAUUGCUCUGAUCAUGUGUUGAUGAAUGCCUGAAGGGUAUAUACAUGUGGUUUACUGUUGGGAGGGUUUGAUGUGGUAAGUGUGCACGAUUAUACUUUGUAAAAUACAAACUUUCCUGUGUAAACGAUUGGUUUUAAAACCACCUGUCAACAGCAUGGCUCACCAGGUGUUUUUUACUUCUUUUAUAUUUGAUAUGACUCAUGGUGGUAGUGAGUAAUAAACUCAAACUUGGAUCGUCAUAAAACGUAUUGUUGUUUUUUUUUUCCCUCUCUAGCAUAUUGUCCCUGGGGUGUACUGUACCAGGAUGAACAAGUCAUGCAGCUAACUUAGAGGAGUUCUGAGAAUACUAUGUCAGCGCUACACCACUAUUGGAUGUUGGAGGUGAUUCAUCAUCAGUUAUAAACAAACACACUCUUUGAUCACUAGAUAUACACAGCUUCAAUCUCGACAUCUACCAAAUGAACCCUAACCUAACCCUGAACUAACCCUCUGAAAGAACCCCAAACCAACUUACUUUCAACAAUCCAAAUCUAAACUAACCUACUCUUAUACUGUGUGACAUAUUCCACCCUAACCCUAACCUACCCCAAACUGACCUACAUAAGUGCAAGCCAGGGAUCAACAGUGCUCCUGCCUGUGUGAACGCCGUGUUCCAGCUGACAACAACAGGGCAGGCUGCUGUCUCCCCCCUCCCUGCUGUUACACGACACUUCUAGGCAGUUCUCAGGAUUUUUAACAGGAAAAACCUGAAUCCCAACUCCUUCAACAGCUUUGCUAACCUCCAGUGACUCACCCUUGUGUUCAGUGUACACAGACUGGACUGGAAGACAACAUGGCCUGUUUGGGAUACAGACUUCUGUUAAACGACUCUUGCCUUCACAGUUGGUCUGAGCUUGAGAUACAACUGUCCUAUCAGACAGUUUCUGAUAUCCAUGCUGGUAAAUGGCAUCUGCCACGAGGUAAACAUGCCAGGUGUCUGUCAUGUUCUCUGACAGGUUCUUAUUAUCUAUGUGAUUACAAGAACAAGUCGACACAAACAUCCUGGGGCUGACAACAGCAAUGUGGACAUCAGCACACACACAUACAAGCACAACAUAUAUACACAUAUAUAUAUGAACAGACCCAUGGCACUGACACAGACACACGGUGGGUAAUCAGCGUUGAGCAUGUGUCCUGUCCUCCAGUUUCACCUCUAGUUCACCAGCGGCUGGUCGCCACAGACCCUUCUAUCCCUCCCCCCCUCCUCCCCCUCCCCACCUUAACCCUCUGUUCCCAGAUGGUCUCGUUAUGUAAGCGUCUAGCACCACCUGUGUCCUCAGCCCGCUGGGAGACUGGGACUCCGACAGGCCUUUAAGGGUGGACAGGAGCAGCGCACAGCGAAGCACCAUCAGGAAGAGUCAGGGAACUCUCUCGAAAUGUUUCACAACACAACGAGCAGGAAAUGUUUGGUAAUAUUCUAGGGUGAUAUUUGAUUUGGAUUCCUUUCCAGGUUUGCAUAUGCACAUUGUGUCAACCAACUGGCUCUGUUCUAACAAUACGUGUUUCAGCUUUCAAGGUUGAACUUUAUCCUUACUCUGAGGGUUAAAGACAGCAGAGCGGAGAGAGGUUGUGAGGCAGGGAGUCAGACAGGACAUGUAACGAGGCAGGGAAGGAGACACAAAAGGCAGGGAGGCAGGGAAGCAGGAAGGCCAAACAGACAGGCAGGGAGGCUAGGACCAGGAAGAUGGCAUUGAUCUUUUCUAGCAGAUGUUUUAUAUGUCACGGUGAUGAGACACCCACUUACAAGAAGAGGGAACGCCUGUGUGUGUGUGUGUGUGUGUGUGUGUGUGUAGAGGGGUUGGGUAAGGUAAAAGCAGGGUUUGAAAGGAAAGAAAAAGAGCGAGGGAAAGAAGAAGACGAGCAGCCGGGCUCUUCUUCAUCUCAGCGCGGGGCUCGUCAUAAUUGGAUGGGAAGGAUCAGUUGUCGGGCGCUGACAGAACUCCCAGGGCAUCAUGGGAACACAGAGCCUCUAAGCCCUGCCAUCCAAGCCUGCCGUACCCUUCCCAUGAGUCCUCUUGAUGUACCUGAGAUGAGGCUAGGUGGCGAGGCGGGGGGGGGGGUGGCCUCAAGGGGGUGUGAGAGUGGGUUAGGAACAGUUGUGGAGUGCACUGAACUGAGUCAGGAGAGAUAGGAGAUGUCAGGCCCACCUUAGAAACAGAUGGAGCAAUUAGACCAUGUUGAUCAGCAGGCGGACACAUUAGCGGGAACACAAA